UUCAGUGCUGCCCUUUCGUGUGUGGCUGAGGGGCGGGUGAAGCUUCAUCUGCCGCUGCAAAUGCAGGUCGGUGCCGGUCUCCAGCGGAUUCAGCAACGGGUGAGCUGUCAGUGCGGGUCUGGGGAGAGCCCCUCACUGGAUGCACAGAGAGCCAAGUGUAACCUGAGAGCCUCGCUGCCGUUUCCUUUGUCUGCAGGAUGCAUGAAAUGCAUCGGUCGCAGGAAGUUUGCAGAGUAAACGGUAUAAUGAUACACACAACAGUAAAUACAACGACGAGCGCAACAACAGCAGACUGGGGGAGAGAUUGCCGUUUGAAGUACUGCAUCAAAAUAUAUUAAAGUGACCACAAGGGAAUAAUCGAGAGAGAUCGAGUGAAGAGUACGGGGCAGCGCUCACCUGCCGCCCGAACCUCCGUUUCUCACCGAGCCCGCCCCCGCCCGAAUCAAUCAACCGGGGAGUGUUUGCAGAGAGCCCUCGCUGGAUAGACAGGUCAGCAACAAAGUGAACUCCACCGGAUUACUUCCAACUUCCAUACAUGGAUUUCAGUGGCAGACGCAGUUAUUGUUUCUCAUCCAUCGAUAGAGAAAACUAGCAGGCUGGUGUCUCUCUCCCUUCUCUCUCUCUCUCUCUCCUUCUUCUAACUUCUUCAAUAACAUCAUUACGUCCUUUAUCUUCUAUUGAGUGGUGUGCAUCUCUCUGGGAACAAAAGACAACAUCAAACACCCUUCCCUGAAGGUCUGCACAACAACACUGAAAAAUGCAUUCACUGAUGCCACAACUGCAGAAACCCAGUGAACUUGGUGGCGAUUGUGAUCCUGUCCCGAGGGAAGUGCAGUCUCUCCAAAUGUGUCACUCACUACCUGGUGGGAAUGGCAGCGGCCGACCUCCUGGUCGUCAUCACUGACUUCAUAGUAAGGAUCAUGGGUGAAAUGACCAUCACCCCCGUGUGCUCCCUUAACUAUGUCCUGGCAUAUGCAGCCACUGUGAUCUCUGUCUGGUUCACCAUGGGGUUCACCUUUGAUCGGUUUGUGGCCAUCUGUUGCCAGACACUGAGAGCAAAAUAUUGCACUGAGAGAACGGCAUCUGUUGUGAUCGGGAUGGUGAGUGUGCUGAGCUGUUUAAUAAACAUCCCAUGGUAUUUUACAUUGGACCCAGCACAUAUCAUCGACAACGUAACCCGGGGGUGUAUCUGGACAUGGACAUUCUUACAUUUACCCUCAUGGGCGUCAUUUGAAUUG